rnacentral:rRNA from 1 species
AAUGAACGCUGGCGGCAGGCCUAACACAUGUAAGUCGAACGGAUCCUUCGGGAUUAGUGGCGGACGGGUGAGUAACGCGUGGGAACAUACCCUUUGGUACGGAAUAGCCUCGGGAAACUGGGAGUAAUACCGUAUGUGGUCGAGAGACGAAAGAUUUAUCGGCAAAGGAUUGGACCGCGUUGGAUUAGGUAGUUGGUGGGGUAAUGGCCUACCAAGCCGACGAUCCAUAGCUGGUUUGAGAGGAUGAUCAGCCACACUGGGACUGAGACACGGCCCAGACUCCUACGGGAGGCAGCAGUGGGGAAUCUUAGACAAUGGGGGAAACCCUGAUCUAGCCAUGCCGCGUGAUCGAUGAAGGCCUUAGGGUUGUAAAGAUCUUUCAGGUGGGAAGAUAAUGACUGUACCACCAGAAGAAGCCCCGGCUAACUCCGUGCCAGCCGCCGCCGUAAUAC